UGCACCACACCUACGGGUGGCAGCCGUCGAGAAUCUUCGGCAAUGGGCGCAAGCCUGACCGAGCGACGCCGCGUGCGGGAUGAAGGCCUUCGGGUUGUAAACCGCUGUCGUAGGGGAGGAAGCAACCGUGUAGAACGGAAGUUGACCGAUCCUAGGAGGAAGGGCCGGCUAAUCUCGUGCCAGCAGCCGCGGUAAUACGAGAGGCCCAAACGUUACUCGGAAUUACUGGGCUUAAAGAGUUCGUAGGCGGCGCAGAAAGUAGGGUGUGAAAGCCCUCGGCUCAACCGAGGAAUUGCGCUCUAAACUACUGUGCUUGAGGAAGCUAGAGGUGAGCGGAACUGAUGGUGGAGCGGUGAAAUGCGUUGAUAUCAUCAGGAACACCGGAGGCGAAGGCGGCUCACUGGGGCUUUUCUGACGCUGAGGAACGAAAGCCAA
rnacentral:rRNA from 1 species